CGGGACAUAGCUCAGUUUGAUUAGAGUGCUUGGUUUGGGACCAAGAGGUCGCAGGUUUGAAUCCUGUUGUCCCGACCA
rnacentral:tRNA from 6 species